AGGAAGGAUCUGCAGUGAGAUCAAGAACAACCUAGUUUCCAUCAGAGAACAAGCACAACAGCAGCACGAGGUCAGGUAACAACAAGCUAAUACUAUAAGAUGCUUCUGGGUUCUGGAAGUGGAUGGAAUGGAUCGUGGCUGCAGCUCCAAGUCCAACAAGAGUAGAGUAGAUAGAUGCUUCAUGUAUGCCUGUAUGGCCGGCUUGUAGUUGUAGGUAAAAGCACACCGAACAAUUGUUGCUGUUGGCAGAAAACGAUUUUUGUUUUUUGUUUUU
rnacentral:lncRNA from 1 species